GAAACGACUGCUAAGACUGGAUAGGAAAAGUGAAGGCAUCUUUACUUUUUUAAAAGACCUUCUUUGAAGGUAUGCUUAAGGAGGGGCUUGCGACACAUUAGUUAGUUGGCAGGGUAAAGGCCUACCAAGACUAUGAUGUGUAGCUGGACUGAGAGGUUGAACAGCCACAUUGGGACUGAGACACGGCCCAAACUCCUACGGGAGGCAGCAGUAGGGAAUUUUCGGCAAUGGAGGAAACUCUGACCGAGCAACGCCGCGUGAACGAUGAAGUACCUCGGUAUGUAAAGUUCUUUUAUUAAGGAAGAAAAAAGAGUGGAAAAACUCCCUUGACGGUACUUAAUGAAUAAGCCCCGGCUAAUUAUGUGCCAGCAGCCGCGGUAAUACAUAAGGGGCAAGCGUUAUCCGGAAUUAUUGGGCGUAAAGGGUGCGUAGGCGGUUUAAUAAGUCUAUAGUUUAAUUUCAGCGCUUAACGCUGUUGUGCUAUAGAAACUGUUUUACUAGAGUGAGAUAGAGGCAAGCGGAAUUCCAUGUGUAGCGGUAAAAUGCGUAAAUAUAUGGAGGAACACCAGAGGCGUAGGCGGCUUGCUGGGUCUUUACUGACGCUGAGGCACGAAAGCGUGGGGAGCAAACAGGAUUAGAUACCCUGGUAGUCCACGCCGUAAACGAUGAGUACUAAGUGUCGGGUAAAACCGGUACUGAAGUUAACACAUUAAGUACUCCGCCUGAGUAGUACGUACGCAAGUAUGAAACUUAAAGGAAUUGACGGGACUCCGCACAAGCGGUGGAUCAUGUUGUUUAAUUCGAAGAUACACGAAAAACCUUACCAGGUCUUGACAUUUUCUUGCGAAGUUAUAGAAAUAUAAUGGAGGUUAUCAGGAAAACAGGUGGUGCAUGGUUGUCGUCAGCUCGUGUCGUGAGAUGUUAGGUUAAGUCCUAAAACGAGCGCAACCCUUGUCGUUAAUUGCCAGCAUGUAAUGAUGGGGACUUUAACGAGACUGCCAAUGAAAAAUUGGAGGAAGGUGGGGAUUACGUCAAAUCAUCAUGCCCCUUAUGAUCUGGGCUACAAACGUGAUACAAUGGUUGAUACAAAGAGUAGCUGAAACGCGAGUUCUUAGCCAAUCUCACAAAAUCAAUCUCAGUUCGGAUUGAAGUCUGCAACUCGACUUCAUGAGGUUGGAAUCGCUAGUAAUCGUGAAUCAGCAUGUCACGGUGAAUACGUUCACGGGGUUUGUACACACCGCCCGUCA
rnacentral:rRNA from 1 species